rnacentral:misc_RNA from 1 species
AGAGUAACUUAGUCUUCUUCAUUGUCACCAAAAAAAAAAUCUUGGUAAACAAUACUCUUGGUUUUUUCUUUUUCUCUUUAUAUUAUUUCUUUUAAUGGGGGAGGUGGUGUUUAGAUUUUAGAAGUUAAAAGAGUACAUGGGAUUUUUAUUCUAUUGAUGAUGACCCUCCCUUUCUCUCUUUACGCUCCCUUUCUCUCUUUAACAAUGUGAUAUUCAUAUUGGCCAAACACCUCCUUGUCUCAGUUUACAGAGCUUGAGUUAGGCCUUCCUAUGUUCGUGUUUUUUAUAAAGCGAAUUCAAGCCAACCCUGUGUAGUUUACUACAGUCUCAGUUAUUUGCACCCUGAAUCAAACAUCAUUU